CGUCAGCUCGUGUCGUGAGAUGUUGGGUUAAGUCCCGCAACGAGCGCAACCCUGUCAUUAGUUGCUACGAAAGGGCACUCUAAUGAGACUGCCGGUGACAAACCGGAGGAAGUGGGGAUGACGUCAAGUCCUCAUGGCCCUUAUAGGUGGGGCUACACACGUCAUACAAUGGCCGGUACAAAGGGUCGCAAACCCGCAGGGGGAGCUAAUCCAUCAAAGCCGGUCGUAGUCCGGAUCGCAGUCCGCAACUCGACUGCGUGAAGUCGGAAUCGCUAGUAAUCGUGGAUCAGCAUGUCACGGUGAAUACGUUCCCGGGUCUU
rnacentral:rRNA from 1 species